rnacentral:piRNA from 1 species
UCGAGUGUAUAACAAAAGAGA